UCCAACGCACCAUGGCGGAGUUAGUACCUACAAAAGACGCCAUUACUGCUCUAUAUUGGAAACGACAGGCUGUGAUCGGUCUUGGGUUAGUUAUUUAAAAAAAUCGGUACAGGGCUUCCAUCUUUGAGGACAUGUAGAGCGGUCACUCGACUAUCUUGUCAAUAUAAUAUAUAAUCUUUGUCUAAUGGAUGGGUGGACUAGCUGCGCUACAAUAUUUACGGAUUCUGGUAAAUAACGUUAUAGGUUAAACUGUAGCGGACAGAUUCGCCUUUGCUGUUUUUUAAAGGCAUAGAGCAGCAAACCGAGAUGAAGGGGCAGCAGAAGAGCCCUGAUGACGACGGUGACGUGCCCAUAAUCGAUGAAGGUGAGCACCAUAGAGAGUAUUCUAUGAUUUAUCAUAAUGGUGCUGUUGCCACGGCCGACGACCCAACUGCCAUCACCACCAUCCAGUCUGCAGCCACCUUCUCGUCUGAUCAGCCAAUCAAGUACCUGUUCAAGACAGAAGGAGGCGGGUUGCCGGUAGGGGAGUUGUACCCUCCCUCAGGGCAGGUGACGUACCGGGUGAUCCAGGUGUCUGAUGGACAGGUGGACGGACAGACAGACGGCGCCUCUGCUGUUAGCGUGGUGACAGGCUUCCCCGCAACGACACAGACUGUCACACAGGCGGUGUUUUCCCAGUCUGAGGGACUGGAGGGGGAAGCCUCAGAGACUCACUACUACUACCCUGUCACUGACGCCACACAGGCUACCAUGGUUGAGAAUGUACAAGCUCCAGAAACACUGCUCACUCAGAGCACACCCACCGGUCAGCUAUAUGUGAUGAUGUCCCCACAGGACGUGUUGGGCGGAACAAACCAGAGCAAGUCAGAGCCUCCUCGUACAUCUAGAGAUGACAAGAGACGAGCCCAACACAAUGAAGUUGAGCGCCGACGCAGAGAUAAGAUAAACAACUGGAUCGUCCAGCUGUCCAAAACCAUCCCAGACUGCACCCUCGAUGCUACGAAGAAUGGGCCAGAGUAAAGGAGGGAUCCUGUCCAAGGCUUGUGACUACAUCCAGGAGCUGCGUCAGAGCAACGCCAGACUGGGGGAGGACCUGGAGAAUCUGGAGAGACUACGCAUGGACAACCAGUUGCUCAGACAAGAGGUUGAUGAUUGGAAAACCAAGAACCAGAUGAUGAGAAGCCAGCUGAGACAGAAUGGCAUUGUGGGAGCAGCAGGUGUAGAUCCACAGUGAGGGAUAAGUGACAAAGGUGCCUGUACGAGGGCUCUGUUUGAAUUGUCAGAAAAUACACCCUCCUUUCCUCACUUGAGGUAGUAACUGAUCUAUAUGUGAUUGGAGAGGUGAAACGUAGGGUCCCAAUGACACCAACCCAGUCAUCUUAUAUCUGUAAUUUCAUCUAGGAAGGAUGUAUUUGGAAAGCAUUCGAACAAGGUCUAGGAUGUUGUGGGCAACUGUUGGAAUACGACAACAUUGGUCAGUGGAGGCGGUUGUAUGCAGAGGGUUGCUUCCAACAAAUCUGGACUGCACUUUUUUGGGAUCUACUCCGUGAUGUAUUUUUCUUCCUUGACAAUUUUAUGGACUCCCUAUGAUCAUGGACAUUCAUCCUACCUAGAAAAACACUUAAGCUACACAGCAUAAUACUCAUGUCUGUGUUCUUUAUCACCUUUGAAAUAAAAUGUAUUUUGUGAUCCCUCAAACAACUUGCCCAUAUAUGGGUAUUUGUACGCUCUUGCCACACAGUAUUUGAAAUAAAAAAUGUGAUGCCUUUUAUGUUUGAAAUAAAAUAUUUUAUGAAAAGGCUUAUUUAAAUGCUAGACUGAACCAAACACCAUGUCUGUUGGUUGACUGUUUCACUACCAGCUGACUGACACUGGUGUUCUACAUCAGUUUGUAUCAGUCACUGAGCAAACAAUGAAUUUGAUGGUUCUUUGUGUAUUUUUAGUUUUCCAAAAUUUGGACUAACCUAUUUCUGACGUUAAUACCACCUUCAGCCUCUAAUAUUAUUUUGUGUUAUAGGUUGAUUUGUUGUAAUUUCUAUUAAAUCCGUCUGAAAGAAA